rnacentral:rRNA from 1 species
UGGGGAAUAUUGGACAAUGGGCGAAAGCCUGAUCCAGCCAUGCCGCGUGAGUGAUGAAGGCCCUAGGGUUGUAAAGCUCUUUUGUGCGGGAAGAUAAUGACGGUACCGCAAGAAUAAGCCCCGGCUAACUUCGUGCCAGCAGCCGCGGUAAUACGAAGGGGGCUAGCGUUGCUCGGAAUCACUGGGCGUAAAGGGUGCGUAGGCGGGUUUCUAAGUCAGAGGUGAAAGCCUGGAGCUCAACUCCAGAACUGCCUUUGAUACUGGAAGUCUUGAGUUCGGGAGGGGUGAGGGGAACUGCGAGUGGAGAGGGGAAAUUCGUAGAUAUUCGCAAGAACACCAGUGGCGAAGGCGGCUCACUGGCCCGAUACUGACGCUGAGGCACGAAAGCGUGGGGAGCAAACA